rnacentral:lncRNA from 1 species
GACAAGAGCAAGAUUCUGUCUCAAAAAUAAAAUUUUAAAAGUUCUGCAAUUCUGCAUAAAGAUAAAUGCUAUUUGUUCCUGGGGGCUGGGGUCACCAGGGAGGCUUCCUGGAGGAGGAGGCAGGGCUGAGGAAUGGAUGGCAGCAGAGAGUAUUUGUGGGUGAGGCUAUGGUGCUGCUGGAGAGGCAGGGUGUGGCAGCUUGGGCUGGGGCCAGCAGUGAGCUUGGAAUUCCCCAGGGCUUUCCAGAAGCCAGAAGGCCGGGGCGGAGUGGGUUGUCCAAGAGCUUGUCUUGUCCUCUUGCCCUGGCCACAGCCGGGAAGCCCUGGGCAGGCGCCCGUGGAUAGCUGGCACGCUCAGCCUUUGGUGGAGAACUGAGAAAGUCUGAAGCAGGAAGGUGGAAAAACAUUUCGUGCUCAGGGAGGAAACGUCUUCACCCCGGUUUACAGGAUGACACGUCAGCAGGGCCCUCACCAGAUGCUGGCCCCUUGAUCUCAGACUUCCCGGCCUCCUGCGCUGCCAGCCUAAUACACUUCUCUUCGUUGUAAAUUACUCAGUCUGUGAUAUUCUGUGAUAGCAACAGAAAACAGACGAAGACGCAGGCCAAGAUUCCUUGGUGGUCCACAGACCCUGGAGUAAGAAUCUCUGCCCUAGGGGAUGACAGGACUGUAAAAGGAAGGGACCUGGGUCCCUGAAUCACACGGGGGAAGUCACCUGCUGAAUCAGAACGCCUCAACAGCUAGCUAGCCAAGAAAUAAACGGAGAGCGUGGCAACCCACAGA